rnacentral:lncRNA from 1 species
AAAAGAUUUCCUGGAGACCAGUGGUGCUUUACAGGUGUAAUCCUGGAGCUCUGCACUAUACAAAAACAAAGACUAUGUGAUCUGGCCCGCUGUAAGGAGGAAGAAAAUGUCUUGCUUAAGAGAAAAUUAUUUAUUGAGAGCUUGCAUCUACACACCAAUGACAAAUCUUUUUUGAGGACAGAAUGGUAUCACGUAAAGGGAAAUCAAGUCAAGCCAAGAAGAUAACACCAUUUAAGGAAACUACUUUACCAAAACGCUGUGUAAAGGAUGUAAUUGCAUUUGGGAAUAGCUACUUUGGGCAGAGCAAUAACACCCAGUUAAGAGGCAUGAAUGGAAUACGCUCAACAUCUGAGUAUAUUUUACUGGGAAGUCUCAUUCUUUGAAAGGGCAGCCCAAUGAUCAGUGAAGUGAGCUAUGACUUUUGACCAAGUCUCAGCAAAAAGCUGUUUCAACACCUGCCACUCUUGAGCUACAAAGAAACCGUUUGUUCAUCGCCCAAAGUAGUAAACCAUUCUAACAAGAAACAGCAAAUAAAACCCCA